CGUUGUCGUCAGCUCGUGUCGUGAGAUGUUGGUUAAGUCCCGCAACGAGCGCAACCCUCGCCUUUAGUUGCCAGCAUUCAGUUGGGCACUCUAGAGGGACUGCCGGUGUCAAACCGGAGGAAGGUGGGAUGACGUCAAGUCCUCAUGGCCUUUAUGUCUAGGGCUACACACGUACUACAAUGGCCGGUACAAAGGGCAGCCACUCAGCGAUGAGGCGCUAAUCCCAUAAAGCCGGUCUCAGUCCGGAUCGCAGUCUGCAACUCGACUGCGUGAAGUUGGAAUCGCUAGUAAUCGUAGAUCAGCAUGCUACGGUGAAUACGUUCCCGGGCCUU
rnacentral:rRNA from 1 species